rnacentral:rRNA from 1 species
AACGAACGCUGGCGGCAUGCCUAACACAUGCAAGUCGAACGAGACCUUCGGGUCUAGUGGCGCACGGGUGCGUAACGCGUGGGAACCUGCCCUUAGGUUCGGAAUAACUCCCCGAAAGGGGUGCUAAUACCGGAUAAUGUCUUCGGACCAAAGAUUUAUCGCCUUUGGAUGGGCCCGCGUUGGAUUAGCUAGUUGGUAGGGUAAAAGCCUACCAAGGCGACGAUCCAUAGCUGGUCUGAGAGGAUGAUCAGCCACACUGGGACUGAGACACGGCCCAGACUCCUACGGGAGGCAGCAGUGGGGAAUAUUGUACAAUGGGCGAAAGCCUGAUACAGCAAUGCCGCGUGAGUGAUGAAGGCCUUAGGGUUGUAAAGCUCUUUUAGCCGGGAUGAUAAUGACAGUACCGGGAGAAUAAGCACCGGCUAACUCCGUG